GUUCCUGGGCUAGGGGUCAAAUUGGAUCUGUAGCUGCUGUCCUAUACCACAGCCACAGCAACACCAGAUUCUUAACCCACUGAGUGAGGCCAGGGAUCAAGGCCACAUCCUCACAGAUACUGUGUUGAGUUCAUAACCCGCUGAGACACACUGGGAACUCCAAGUCCUACUUUAAGUGUCACAACUUGAGAGAAGCCUUCCCUGACCUAUCUACUAAAAUAGCUCAUUCUUUAUCCUUUCAUUAUUAUUAUGUUGUACCAUAUCUUGUUGUCUAUCUCUCUCUCUCUAUAUAUAUAUAUCUAUCAUCUAUUUAUCUAUCAUCUACUAUCUAUACCUCCAUGACUAGAAUUUAGCUAGGAGUCUUAUUUUGACCUCACAGUAACUCCAGGGCACAGGCAGUGCCUGGUACAUAGGAGAUGCUUAGUAAAACCUUUUCAAAUACAUUACCUUUUUUUUCUUUUUCUCCAUGAAGGCUUUGCUUACAGCAGGUGCCAUUCAUUUUGCUCCUUGCUUGUGCUCUCUAGCCGGCAUUGCUAAUACCAUCUUUUUAAGCACAGGCUUUAUCUCCACAGCAGAUUACAGGUUCUAUAGACGGAAGGCGCAUGCCUUCUGCCCCUCUGGUGCUUGUGAAAUUUUGCUCCUAGUAGUGAUAAUUGGGUUGUUACUGCCUGCUAUUUAUAAUUAAAUAAUAAGUAGAAAACAAUAACAAGAAAAAAACCCAUUAUUGCUUGGCAUUUUAACAUGCUGUCAUGUUAUCCUGAAGUGAUUUUUAAAAUCUUGCCAUUGCUUAAUGGUAUUUGACUGUGGCAUAUUAGCAAAGAAGUUCCCAGGUUGGACAGCUUCUUAGCUCAUGAGCCCUGAUAUUUCCCCAUUUUAUAGAAUUUCUGCUAGUGUUUUGGCUAAUUAUUAGACAUUUCCAAGGUUUGCUUGUAGUUUGUCAUUAGGGGAACUAAAUCUUAAUAUAAAAGACUAUGAAAUGCUGAGUGUACAAAGGGACAGUUUUAUAGAAUUAGUGAUUAAAAGAGCAUUGUCUCUGGAGCUGGGCCAUAUCAAUUCUUCUCUCAAUCUGUCAUAUUAUGACUUUUGUCAAAUUGCUUAAAUUCUCUUUGAUUUACAAUGUUGUGUUAAUUCCUGCUGUACAGCAAAGUGAUUCUCUUAAUUAAAUUAUAUUUGGAUAAUAUUAGUUGACUCUUUUCCAAGUUAUCCCUGAACAGAAAGAUAGAUAACAGGCCCUUGGUUAUUCAUUUGAAGUUAUAAUUACACAUUAUUUUCCAUGUUUGGAAGAUGAUCAUCCACUUUGCUCUUGUAAGAAAUAGAAAAAAAUAUAUAAUGGGAUUUGAAAACCACAAAAUAUAACCUGCUUUGCAAAGAUUUUGUAUUUAUUUUUUUAUCUUAUAUUUUACGUUUAUCUUAUAAAGGCUUGGAAAGCCUAAUAAGAAGAUCUUUUGGCAGUGUGUUAGGAAGUUGUUAUUUGUCACUUUUAGACUAUGCAUUGCCAAAUCUAAUGUCAGAAAAUUAAGAAGAAAAUACAUCAGAACCAGAAAAUAAAACCAACUGCAAAAAGAAAGGUGAAAUGACAAGUAACUUUUCUAGUCUAAGUCAAAUGAAAAGCAUAAAUGUAUUGGAAAGAAAUAUUAAAAACUAAGCAUUUACUUUAAGUUAUAAUGUUUUAUAUUUCUAUGAUGUCUCUUUAAAGAUUAUAUGUGCUCAUUUAAAAUUCAUUGCAAUCUGACUUUCUGUACUUAACAAUUAUAAACAGUGAAGAAUUUCUAUGUGCAGUUUUUUUAAAAGAAACACUUUGAAACGUUCAAGGUAAUUUUUGUUUUCCCUAAUUUACUUUAAAUUUAUAUUUUCUUUAAAAAUUAGUGAGCCUCUUCUACUGAACUAGGAAAAUAUUUCUUUUUUUAGCAUAGGCAACCUGCUUGCUAAGAAGACUCAACCCACAACAAGAUUUUUGUAGGAAUUUUAAUUCUAUAAAUAUAUCAGUUUAUAAUGGAAACAAGAGUGCACCAUUAACAACAGUGGAAGUGUAAACUCAUUUUCUCUCUAUGAAGAUCUUUCCAUUCUUCAUCUCUCUACUACUCGAAAUAAAAAUUGGUCAUAUUUGUGCCCAAAGAAACAUCAUCCAAAUACUUCUGACUAUAAUUCUGAGUGCCAUUGAAUCAAUGAUGGCUUGUUUUGGUCAGUCCUGUUACCUCCAGGGCACAAUGGAAACUAUACUCUUAAUAAAGAUGCUCUUGUCGUGAAAUCACUUCAAACAGUAUCACUAUCUGACAUUUUUAUUAAAUAUGCUAGCGAUGUUAAAUGCAUUUAUUGAAACUAUAGAUACUACUUAACAUUUUCCUUUUUAAAACAUGUUAUAGACAAGUUAUCUAAAGGGUUUCCUUUUGAAAAUAUGGCCUAAUUCCAGCCUAUUCAAGAGGGUGAAGCCCUGCACUGAUAAGUUAUUCAAUCUAUAAAUAUCAUAAUUCUUGAUCUCUGAAAAUGGAUAUUAGCCACAACAAACACCCCCUCCACCUACCUGCAUGCCAAUACAACCUCUAUCAACAGGUAUGCCUGCACUCCAUCUAACUACCUACAUGCCCAUAUUCCAAGACAUCAGGCUGUUUAACAUCUGGUCUUUCUGAUUCAGAGCUAGUGGAGACUGAGGGGAAAAAUUAGUUAACUUUGACCUAAGCAGAAAAUCCUGAAUAAACUAAGUCUCCAUCUAGAUCAUAUAUAUCUAACUUCCUUUUGAAAUUUGGGCAGAAGAGGGUAGAACUGAAGAAAGAGAUUGUCCAGAUUGAACAUACACAGUUCAUUGUUUGUUACUCUUUGACUACUUAUACAGCACAGGAAGCCCCAAAGUCCAAAGUUCCCAUAGGCAGUUGACAUAUUUGAUGGCAUUAGGGCUAAAGUACAGCAUAAGUUAAAUCACAUUGGCUUGUAGUAUAUAAAAACCAUAGAGAGAGGGGAAAAAAUAUCAAUGUUUUUCAAGAUAGAAAAGGAUGAAACUCAUGAAGCUAAGAACUAAUGUUAUCCAACUUUGGGUAAAGGCAACACACUCAUAUUAAGGGUUUUAGACUACUUUUAUAGGUAAAAGAGGUAGAUAAACAGGUAUUCUUAUAUGCAAUGAGAGAUUGGACUACCAACUCUAUAAACCAUCUAGUUACCUGGAUUUCAGAAGACAGCAGUUAGGUUACAUAGGUGCUAACACUGAUUUGAUGAGUGCAUGGCACGGUGGUGUAAGGAAACAAAGAUCAAUGUUAAAAUGACUGUGAGAAUCUCUGAGGAGUACACACAGAUCAAUACCUGUGUAACUCAUAGACUAUCAUCCUCUUCUCGGAGUCUUUUAAGAAAGUGAAGCCAAUUCUACUGAGAUGUUUUCCCACUCUCCCAAUGAACUGUAAAUUAUCAUUGUCAAGCACGGUACUAAAAUGUUUCUUUCUUGCAACUUAAAGACACUUGGAACAUUAACUGCCCUGAAAAAAAAUUAAAUGACUAAAGUUUUCUUUGACUUUCCUCCUAAAGUGUACUUGAGUCAAAAUCAUUUUGCCUCGGAGCAUAUUGUCUUUGCUGACUGGGUCUACAAAGUUGGGCCAACCCAGAGCCCAUCCAGCUAGUCAGUUUCUUUCACAGCUUCCAUUGGGGGUUGGGGAUUUAAGCAAAUUGCUAAGUUCUUCUCUAGCUCAUGUAACCCCCAAAUAAAAUGGCUAAUGCUUUGGGUCUUUAGCAAACCAAACCGUAUUUCUAAAUUAAAGCUCCUACUCUUCUUAGAUGUAAUCAGUAAAUAGAUAAGUAAAUGGACUCAGAGGUAUUUGGCUUCCUGAAAGGGGUGUCCCCCUCCCAUUUGUUAUGCCUAUCCUGAGCAAUGAUGAGUAUGAGAGAGUGGCUGGUGAGAGUCUUAAACCAUGGACACAUUUUGAGUAUGGAACGGAGGCAUUUAUUUAAACAAGUAGGGGUUCAUUCUCUGGUUCACAUGGUACUGCAGUUUUUCAUGUCCAUUAACUACCUACUAUGCCCACACUUGAGCCCCUGUGCAAAUAUUAAAAUAAGUUCAUUUUUCAAGGGAAAAAACAUCUCAGGAGAUUCAUUUCACAUAGUGUUUGAAUAACAUUAAGUGAACUGAGCAAAAAUAAGAUGCUAAUGCAAUUAGUGCAGUUAGAUUUUAAACUUGAUGAAUUUAAACAAAUCCUCUGCUAAAGGAUAACUGCAAAACCUAAUAUGUUUCUCAUUAUAACAUUUGGGAAAAAUACAAUGUCGUGUCUUGAAAUAAUUUGACUUUUUAAAUGUGUUAAACAUUUUUUCUUUUUGUUACUGUUUCUAAAAUAGAAAGUCUAUUGGGAACAAAUUUGAUUGUCCUGUAUAACUUAAUCUUUAAGACUAAACUGAAUCCUUCAUUAUCAUUCACUCUGGCACUUCAAAGAAACCAUAACACACAGCAUCUUUUUAUUAGGCCCCUCUAGCUAUGACUUAAUAAUAUGAAUAGUUCAUAUAAUGAAUUUUAAAUGUGUCCAAUGUGAUCUAUAGAAAACAUUUGAUAUAAUAUUUACAACCAUCAUGAAAUAAAAUGUUUUUCUCCUUUUUACAGAUGAGGAAACUGAAGUUCAGGGAGGUUAAGUGAUUUCCCCAAUGGCGUAUAGUUGUAAGGGGAAGAGAAAACUCUAACUUGAAAAUUUGCGGUAUAAUUUUAUUCAAAAGUAUUUUUGAAAGCCACUUUCUAGGCUUUGCUCAAUGUGAAGAGACUGUGAAACAGAGUAUCAUACAAUAUUUGCCUUGGUGGAGCUUACAGACACGUGUAUGUGUAUUCAAGGAAGCUUGCGCACAUGAGGAGAGAUAGAAAUGUAUAAUAAGUUAAAAUAAAAAUGACAAAAGCUAGAUGUAAAAAUAAAUUCAAAACGUGUAGUAUUACAAAA
rnacentral:lncRNA from 1 species